GGCAGUUCUUUUGUAAAGCCCGUCCCACUCGUUUCCAAUCACGUCCCACAUGAGCAGCAAACCGCUGCUGGUCUGCUGAAGUCAAAGGCCUAUCGUCUGAGAGCAUCGGGAAGGAGGAGACAAACAUCAAACAAUCUGAAGAAAGCAGUUCCUGGGCAGCUCCUGCGGCGGUUGACUGGGAGGACCGAAGCUGUUCUGCAGCUGCUGCUCCAACUGUGUGACCUCGUCAUCUCGCAAACGCACAGGCUACAAAACAGCCAUUCAUUAAAUAAACAGCUGUUUAUUUGAAAACACCUGAACUAUAUUGUUACAUUCACAGAAGUCACAAUGUCCAUAAUGACAUCAGGACAGAGAAGGACGGCUUUACAGCAAGAAUAUGCAAGAGGUCACAGGCCUUCUGACCUGACUAGUUUUGGCACAAGGUUUCAAAUGAUUAACUAGACGAG